CACACGGAUGCGAGGCCAAUCCCUAAUUUCCCCUUCUCCUUCCCCACGCGCGCUGCCAUGGGCUCCCGCCGCCGGUCUCUCCACCAUGCCUGCGCACCAUCCGCCACUCCCGCAUUACCCUGCUGGCCUCCCGCCCCCACGCGCUCAAAUCCUCUCCUCCAACUAGGUGCCCUCUCUGCUCGAACCCUCGUCCUCACGGUCGGCACUGGUCAAAUCUCAGGGCAGACCGGGCUCAACUUGCUGCCAAGGAGUACUGCCUAUACCGGAAUAGCAUGAUGGCUGUGGCGAAGCAGUUCCCGGAGGCGUUCCUGCUCAUGUUGGCCAACCCCUUCCUGGCCUUUCAUGGUUGGUUCUCGAUGAGCGACGUCGUUAGCUUAGGCACCAACCUCGUCUCCUCAAGGUUCUUGUCCCUCGAUGAACAAACCUAGCAUAUCGCUGCUGAAUUUGGAGUUAUACGCAUCAACAACAGAAGGGUAAGAGAGGGGCGUACAGUGGUACCAAAAAAAUGAAUUUUCCUCCAUUGAACUCUAUCGGUUGCAAAGGUGAGGCCAGAUAACAAGAGGUUAAUUGUGUUCUCGUCUCCAAUAUGUUCAGUGGUUACAUCAUGUUACAGUUCACUUUUGCUCACCUCUUGGUACUGCACUACUACUAUGCACUGAAUCUGUUUGCUAAUUUACUCACUGAAUUGUUCUGAUCAAUAUGCUAUUUAUGUGUUUCCUUCCCAAAAUCCUUUUUCUAGUGGAAAAAGUUGUUGUUUCUCUAGCCUCAUCGGAAAAAAUUGUACUAAACUGUUUUCUAAUUUACUCACUGAAAGUUUGAUGAUCCAGUCCUCGGUGAGGAAGAAAUCUAAGUCGGCGACGCUUGCACUAAACUGAAAUUAAGUUAAUUACACUAACUUGACAAGCAUAGGAGUUCUUGGCAUGGGUUGAUGGACAAAUUGAUACUUAUUUUGCUCUUUCUGAAGAAGCAAAGACGUACUUCUAAUCUCAGAGACCAUAUAUGGGGCUUCCAUGCAGUUUGGAAAAUGCACUUGGAAACUUGGACUGGUUCACGACUCUGAAUCUGGGUGUGCCUCAUUGGUGCCGAAAAAUCCAUUAAAUUCUGUUGUUAUUUAUAUGGUCGAUCUUCCUCUUAUAUACCGCCCAAAAAAAUAUAAAAAGUUCAGAUAACAUGAACAUCAUUUAGCAAAAUAUAUAAGGCACUACAGAAUGUGCGUGCAAUAUUCAUAUCAAUGAACAAUUACUGCUACAAUCUGUUCUGAAAGUAAGGACAUGUCAUUGUUGAUGAUGAGCAGCUGCACCUUUUCUGACAUAGUCGAAACUGCACAAUAACAAGUACGUAGAAAAGUUUAUGCCACUGCAUUCUUUACCUCUGGACUGAAGACUCUACAAUACCGUUCACCUCUUGUCAUUGACCAAACUAAAUAAUUAGAUAGUUUGAACAGGAAGUCUCUGAGAUGUCUUUAAUUUUAGUAUAACUUGGAAUUCUCUGAGAUGAGGCCCUGCCUUUCAAUAUAAGGUUGUACAUAAAAACUGAAAAUUAGAUUGUUUGGACAGAACAAUAACUAAUUUCAUGCAGUCUUAAUAAACAAAGGUUAAAUUUAGAUGUUCUUUUUGGGUCCAACAAAUUAUGCCAUAGAGACAGUAAAGGGGAGAAGAAACAUUACUUCUGGCCAUGGCAGCUCGAUCCAUGUAACAACGUCAUAGCCACGUUGUAGGUGCAGCAGUUUUCUUUCGUGUGAAAGGAUUCUUUAGCGCUAAACAUGUUUAGUCGCUCACCAUCAGGACAAUAAGGAUGGUUGGAUUAACGCGAACGGAUGAUCGAGAUUUUUUGGAUCUGCCCCACUGGGUCUUUUUAUAUUGGUAUAGAUUUGAUAUCUACAAGCCACAUGGAGGUGCUCUUAAGUGUAUGGACUAUUAUUGAUGGGUUUCCCUGCCUUUCUUCUUUGUUCCGUAUUGAUGUUUAUAUGCAAUUGUUUCAUCUUCCAGCAUGUAUAUUAUAUUUUUUCAGAUUCAGUCAGCAUGCAUGUAAAUACUAUGGCCAAUUGCAUUGUCUUCUAGAAUUAAUUAUGCACCAUGUAAUACAAGCAAAUGACAAAUUUUUAGUCACACACCAUUUUGAUAAGCAUUAUGAUUUUAAAUUUACAAGUGUGAGUGACCUCAUUUUGAAUAUAUUGCCGUCCAUUUCAUAUAUUUGUACUCACUUUGUUGUUUGGCACAACAGAAUUGUCAGUUUUCAAAAUGCAUAUACUUCUUUUUCUACUGAUAUUUUUUGUGCCCACCUUACAUGCCAUCACACAGUUACAUCUUAUAAUUAUGAGUUCUUUGAGAAUUAAAUGGAACAACAUACUUUUGAACUUCUAAGCAACAUAUUUAUAUGCCUAUUUGACAAAUUCCUCUUCAGUCUAAAUGAGUUACGGGGAAUGGAGAGUUUACAGAGAGUCCAUAGGAGAAAUCUACAUGCCAUCAUUAGGAAUGAGGGAACAACCUACGGUAUGAAUAUAUAUCUAUAUUUCACGGGCAGGAUUUCUAACGGGAACUCUUCUAAAUUAUGAUGGUUUUAUUCUAUAACUACAAUUAAGGAGUAUUUUAGCACAUGUUGCUUAUAAAAGUCUUAUCUAAUUAUACUCGAAAUUUCUUUUGGCAGCUCCUUUUUGUUUACUUGUAUCCUGAGCGCACAAAUCAGUGCAUUCUUGACCACCUCUUUCUCACAUGUAGUGAACUGGGGAGGCAUCACAAAAAUUACAAAUAUUUUCGUUUUUCGUAGAUUUAUAGAAGAAUAGCAUGUCAAUUGCUUCUAUGUUGUAUCACCCAACGUACAACUUCCUUGACUUUAUUUUGUUUUCACCUAGUGGCAUUGUAUUCUGCCAUGUACCCCUAUCUUUAUUUACAGUUUGCAUGUCCAGGAAAAGACCAAUCAAUUUACUGAUUUGCUCUUUGUC